GUUAAAACGCCGGUUCUUGUACGAUCACCAAAGUUAAGCAACUUCAAGCCUGGUUAGUACCUAGAGGGGUAACUGCUUGGGAAUACCAUGCGCUGUAAG